CAGCAGCCGCGGUAAUACAGAGGAUGCAAGCGUUAUCCGAAAUGAUUGGGCGUAAAGCGUCUGUAGGUGGCUUUUCAAGUCCGCCGUCAAAUCCCAGGGCUCAACCCUGGACAGGCGGUGGAAACUACCAAGCUAGAGUACGGUAGGGGCAGAGGGAAUUUCCGGUGGAGCGGUGAAACGCGUUGAGAUCGGAAAGAACACCAACGGCGAAAGCACUCUGCUGGGCCGACACUGACACUGAGAGACGAAAGCUAGGGGAGCAAAUGGGAUUAGAUACCCCUGUAGUCCCUGUCUCUUAUAA
rnacentral:rRNA from 1 species